CGAAAGCCUGACGGAGCAAGACCGCGUGAGGGAGGAAGGCUCUUGGGUUGUAAACCUCUUUUCUCAGGGAAGAAGCUCUGACGGUACCUGAGGAAUCAGCCUCGGCUAACUCCGUGCCAGCAGCCGCGGUAAUACGGGGGAUGCAAGCGUUAUCCGGAAUUAUUGGGCGUAAAGCGUUCGUAGGCGGUUUUAUAAGUCUGCUGUCAAAGUGCGGAGCUUAACUCCGUAAAGGCAGUGGAAACUGAAUAGCUAGAGUGCCGUAGGGGUAGAGGGAAUUCCCGGUGUAGCGGUGAAAUGCGUAGAGAUCGGGAAGAACAUCGGUGGCGAAAGCGCUCUACUGGACGGCAACUGACACUCAGGGACGAAAGCUAGGGGAGCG
rnacentral:rRNA from 1 species